CAAUAUUUAUACACAAGAGCAUUGAAUAGACACUCCUCUGUGGCGAGAGUGCUAAGCGGCCCACUCGAUAUCAGGUCAUUCGGCACUCUACUUCCACCAGGACUCCUGGGUGAUAUUCAGAGAUUAAAAGGAAGGAUUGAACAAGUCAAUUUGACCGAACAAUCUGAUACUAUUGUAUGGAAAUGGUUCAGCAAUAAUGGUUUCACAACAAGAAAGAACUACCACUUUCUUC
rnacentral:lncRNA from 1 species